UACGAAGGGAGCUAGCGUUGUUCGGAAUCACUGGGCGUAAAGCGCACGUAGGCGGAUGUGUCAGUCAGGGGUGAAAUCCCGGAGCUCAACUUCGGAACUGCCUUUGAUACUGCGAAUCUUGAGUCCGAUAGAGGUGGGUGGAAUUCCUAGUGUAGAGGUGAAAUGCGUAGAUAUCAGGAGGAAUACCGGUGGUGCAGACGGCUCUCUGGACCGCGACUGACGCUGAGACACGAAAGCGUGGGUAGCAAACAGG
rnacentral:rRNA from 1 species